UGCCCAAGAGCAGGAGGCUCAGCUCAUCAGGCCAAUUGGGCCACGGGCUACCAGGAGGCUAGCAUUCACAGAGUAAAGGGUGGUGGACAAGAAGAACGCUACCACGGUGAGGGUGUGCAAGGGAUGUGGGAAUUUGAGUCCUAGUCCCUUUAACUAGAGGGAGGUUUGUGACACCGCAGACAGGAGCAGUGGUGAGGGAGAAGCUGGCUGGCCCCCAUCGAGAGGAUGCCACACAGGACAUGGAUGAAAGUGGAAGCUGUCAUUCUCAGCAAACCAACACAAGAACAGAAAACUAAACAGCGCAUGUUCUCACUCAUAAGUGGGAGCUGAACAAUGCUGCCGUAAAGAAGACUACAAACUGGGGUCUUCAACACCAGCUCUGGAAGCUAGAAGUCUAAGAUCAAGGUUUCAGCAAUGUUGGUUCCCUCUGAGGCUAUGAGGGAAGGCUCUGUUCCAGGCCUCUCUUCCUGUGUCUUCAUGUUAUCUUCCUGCUAUUCAUGUUGGUCUCUGUGUCCAAAUUUCCUCUUUUUUAAAAAAAUAAAAUCUCAACAGAAUUUGUUGAAUAACUUCACUUGGAAACUUACAUGAAGAACCGAUGUCCUUAAAGAAUGAAUAAAUAAUGAAUUCCA